GCCUUUGUGGUGUAGUGGUCAGCACGGUCGGCGCGUUCGAGAGGUCGUGGUUCGAAUCCCGGCGAGGGCA
rnacentral:tRNA from 1 species